CAAGUAUUGGAUGGUUCUUUCUAUUUGUGAACAAAAGGAAAUACAUUUUUUUGUCGGCCUUCCAGAAGUUUGUUUCAGAUGACCACACAACCAAGGACCUCUAACAAUGAACCAGAUCAUGUCAAGGCGGGGAGGGACCAGAGUCCUUUUCUGGAGGGAGACGUGUCUCGGCCCACAAAUUCUGGGGUGAUGAGCAGCAACAAGAUUGUGGUGAGUGGAGUGCGGAGGCUGAGCACCAUCUCUGAGCACGACCCAGACAAGGUAGAUACUGACCUCAGCUCUCAGGAUCCCAUGGGAGGCCGGGAGUGGGGCGGAUCCAGUUUCUCACUGUGUUCCAACAAGCACAUCAACAACAGUAGCGAUCACUUCUCC
ensembl:lncRNA